AGAGUUUGAUCCUGGCUCAGGAUGAACGCUGGCGGCGUGCCUAAUACAUGCAAGUCGAGGAGAAUCAGCGGAUCGGAGAUUCGUCAAAGAGAAGCUGAGGAAAGCGGCGGACGGGUGAUAACGCGUAGGCAACCUGCCCUUAGCAGAGGGAUAGCCAUUGGAAACGAUGAUUAAAACUCAUAAUGCUGUUUUAACACAUGUUGGGACAGCCAAAGAUUUAUCGGCUAAGGAUGGGCUGCGUCUGAUUAACUAGUUGGUGAGGUAACGGCCCACCAAGGUGACGAUCAGUAGCCGACUGAGAGGGUGAUCGGCCACAUUGGAACUGAGACACGGUCCAAACUUCUACGGAAGGCACAGUAAGGAAUCUUGCACAAUGGGGGAAACCCUGAUGCAGCAACGCCGCGUGAACGAUGAGGCCUUAGGGUUGUAAAGUUCUGAUCUGUGGGAAGAAGAAGUGACGGUACCACAGGAGAAGCCCCGGCUAAAUACGUGCCAGCAGCCGCGGUAAUACGUAUGGGGCAAGCGUUAUCCGAAUUAUUGGGCGUAAAGAGUGCGUAGGUGGUUACCUAAGCGCAAGGUUUAAUCUUGAGCUCAACCUCAUUCUGCCUUGCGAACUGGGCUACUUGAGUGCAGGAGGGGAAAGCGGAAUCCCAGUGUAGCGGUGAAAUGCGUAGAUAUUGGGAAGAACACCGGUGGCGAAGGCGGCUUCUGGACUGUAACUGACACUGAGGCACGAAAGCGUGGGGAGCAAACAGGAUUAGAUACCCGGUAGUCCACGCCGUAACGAUGAGCACUAGUUGUUGGGUACGAAUGUAUUCAGUGACGCGUUAACGCAAUAAGUGCUCCGCCUGGGGA
rnacentral:rRNA from 1 species